rnacentral:rRNA from 1 species
UACUACCUCAAAGUAAAGUGAGAUUA